UACGGAGGAUCCGAGCGUUAUCCGGAUUUACUGGGUUUAAAGGGUGCGUAGGCGGGUCGUUAAGUCGGCGGUGAAAUGCGGGGGCUCAACCUUCGAGCUGCCGCCGAAACUGGCGACCUUGAAUUCGGUCGAGGCCGGCGGAAUGCGUGGUGUAGCGGUGAAAUGCUUAGAUAUCACGCGGAACGCCGAUUGCGAAGGCAGCUGGCCGGGCCGAGAUUGACGCUGAGGCACGAAAGCGUGGGGAUCAAACAGGAUUAGAUACCCCCGUAGUCCC
rnacentral:rRNA from 1 species